rnacentral:tRNA from 1 species
CGGGGUGUGGCAAAAAAGUAAAGCAUCUCCCUUACACUGAGAAGAUGUCCAUGCAAAUUGGACCACCCUGA